CCGAACCCAAGUAGCAGAAAAUGGGUUUUCAUUUUCGUGUAUGAAAAUAUAAUAUCUUUAAGGACAACUUCAUCAUCAAAGAUAUGUAUUAUUUUGCUCACAUUUUAUUUAAGAUUUAGUUUGCACUGUUUGGCUCAGCACUUUUUUUAACAAUCCAUCUUAAAAGAAUGUUUUCACUUAGUUUGUCACUUUAUAUUUCAUAGCAUUAUGGUGAAUUAAUUAAAGCAUAUGGACAAAAUUUCUAAAGGUUCUUAUUAAACAUAUCAAUUAUUCUUCAAAUUAAUGAUUCUUUUUUCCAAAUACACGAAAUUGAAAAGGCAUUUUCUGUUGGUUUUAGAAAUCUUACAGUGAAAAUGCUAAAAGGUGCCAGCAUACUUUCCCAAGAUUUCUUUAACCGAACUCAAGUAGCAGAAUAUGCUUAUUUCCUUUUCGUGUAUGUCAAAAAAUAAUAUAUCUAAAUAAGAUGUUUCACAUUGGAGGGUCUUCAUUUGUAUAAGUCUAAAGUGGUUAAAAAUUUAACUGGUUUGAAAGGCUCAUGAAAUGAGAGUGAACAACAAUAUAAAACUGAUUUAGUUUAUAUAUCAAAAAUUGUUUCAUUUUAUAACUACUUUACUCACAUGUUUAACAUUUUUUUUAUUAAUUAUGAUACUUGCUUAUUUUAUAUAUAAACGUCUUACUGAAAUAAUUUACUGCAUCGGUUUUUCUUAUAAAUAGUCAUGUUACAGCGUCCACGGCAGUUGAAGUGGCCAACCAUUCAACCGGAAGAGAUGCUCUAUGCAGUGGAGUUGGCGAAGAGGCGUACUGCGGCUACAGUUGGAGUCAGGUUUGCGUAAAGUUAUGUGGACAGCUUCAUGAACAAAGAUAUGUAUUAUUUUGCUCACUUUUUUGUAUAAGAUUUUGUUUGCACUAUUUGGCUCAGCAUUGUUGUUUUACAUAUUUAAUAGUUUUAUCUUAAACAAAUGUUUACUAAGAAGGUCAUUUUAUAUUUCAUAGCCUUAUGAUGAAUUUAUUAAAGUUUAUGGAUAACAUUUUUGAGGUUCUUAUUAAAUCAAUUAUUUCAUUUAACACAUCAAUGAUUCUUCGAAAGAAUCUCCUUUUUUCUAUAUACAUGAAAUUAAAAAGGCAUUUUCUGUUGGUUUUAGAAAUCUUACAGUGAAAAUGCUAAAAGGUGCCAGCAUCCUUUCCCAAGAUUUCUUUAACCGAACCCAUGUAGCAGAAAAUGUGUUUUUUUUUAUUUUCGUGUAUGUCAAAAUAUAGUAUUUUUAAAUAAAAUGUUUCAUAUUUGAGGGGCUUCAUUGGUUUGAGAAUGAACGUGGUUAAUAAAUAAACUGGUAGGAAAGGCUCGUGAAAUGAGAGUGCUUAACAAUAUAAAACUGAUUAAAUUGAAAUAUAAGUAUUUGUUUAAUGAACAUAAUUUAACUGAUUGCGAAUUAUAUUUGUUUAUAACUUCUUUUAUUCACAUGUUCAACAAUUGUUUAAUUAAUUGUGAUACUGGCUUAAAUUAUAUAAAAUCUACUUUCUGAAAUAAGUUACUGCCGCGGUUUUUCAUAUAAAUAUCAAUGUUACAGCGUCCACGGUACCUGAAGUAGCCAACCAUCCAACCGGAAGAGAUGCCCUUUGCAGUGGAGUUGGCGAAAAGGCGAUAUGCGGCUACAGUUGCAGUCAGGUUUGCGUAAGGUUAUGUGGACAAUUUCUUCAACAAAGAUAUGUAUUAUUUUGCUCACUAUUUUGUAUCAGUUUUUGUCUGCAUUAUUUUGCUCAGCGUUUUCUUGUUUUAUGUUAAACAAGUCAUCUUUAAAUAAUGUUUUCACUAAGUAGGUCACUUUAUAUUUCUUAGCCUUAUGAUUAAUUAUUUAUAAUUUAUUAUAUAUUUGCAAUUCUUUUAAAUGUUCUUAUCAAUGAUUCUUCGAAUGAAUAAUUUCUUUUUUCCAAAUACACGAAAAUUGAAAAGACAUUUUCUGUUGGUUUUAGUAAUCUUACACUGAAAAUGCUAAAAGGUGCUAGCAUCCUUUCCCAAGAUUUCUUUAACUUAACCCGGGUAGCAGAAAAUGCCUACUUCAUAUUCUCGUGUUUUUAUAUACUAAUUUAAUAUUGCACAUUGGAGGGGCUUAGUUUGAUAUUUAUUUAUUAGCUCUUUAAUUCAAAUGGUUAACAUGUGUUUAUUUGAUGAUGAAACUUGACUUAAUUACAUAUUUAACGUUGUGUUUUUUUAUAUAAGUGACUACGUUCGUUCAAUUUUUCAGUGUGUGUCCCACCAUCUGAUUUGGAAUCGAUGUUCCAUGCAUUAUGCUUUGGAUGACGUCAAACGUUUGGUACUUGGACCGGAGCAGUGGCCCGGGAACCGGAAGUGUCCCACCCUGCAUCUCGAAGUGAUACCUCUUGCAACCUGAACGAUGCUUCAUCAGUGGCAUUUGCAAUGCCCGAAGGCCGCACAUUCCUGUCUUGCAUUAAGCACUUUUGGUCCUGUGUGACAACUUAGUGAUGACACAAUGGAUAACACCUCACUGAUGACACAAUGGCUUGGUUGCUAAACUGGAUCAGGCCUUUUCACGGGAAACACAAUGGAAAAUGAAAUAUUUAAUACAUUGACGCUCUAUUUUUGCGCCUUGUGCUGAUGAUCGAUAAGACUUUUACAUUUAUGUUACCAGCUUAUAUUGAUGUGACACUAUAAUGGUUAUGUUACAUUCUUAUACUUAAGUGACUGAAAUAUUUUAUAUAUGUUGAUUUGACGUUCUUAUGUUAAUGUUACAUUUUAAUGUUAUGUGAAUUCUUAAAUUGAUGUGUCAUUUCAAUAUUUAUAUGACAUUAGUAUAUUGAUGUGACAUUCUUAUAUUGAUGUGCAUUUCAAUGUUUAUGUGACGUUAGUAUAUUGAUGUGACAUUCUUAUAUUGAUGUGACAUUAAGGUGUUGAUGUGAUAUUCUUAUAUCGACGUGGCAUUCUCAUAUUGAUGAGACAUUCUUAUAUCGAUGUGACGUUCAAGUGUUGAUGGUUCAGCCAUACGAUAAUGUAACCUUCUAAUUGUGAUGUGACAUUCUUCCAUUGUCAGUUUAACAGUAAGUUAUUGCGCGAGUUAUUUAAGAAACAGAUGUAAAUUAUUAUGUUGUCAUUCAACUUCAUGCUGUAUACACCCUUAUUUAUGAUUUUGUUCAUUGUUUUUAUCAAGUUAUUCAGCAAAUGAGACCCGACAUAACACAUUUAAACCUAAUUGGAAUUGAUAGUUGGCUGUUACGAAGCAUAGGACAGAACGAGUAUCUUAACGUGUUAUGAGCGCAAAUGCGCGGGUCAUUUGAGCGUGAAGGUCACGUGGUAUUCGAGCUAGGGUAGUCGGUUAUAAUGGCGGGCGAAUCAGUUCUAGUCUUGACUUCUAACAGCGAACAUCGAUUUCAUUCAAAUUCGAAAAAAAGAUGUUUGUAUACAUAUGUUUGAUAUGUGUUUAUACAUGCAUGUGUGUCCGGAUGAAUUCCGUAGUUCCUAUAUUCUGAGGAAUGAAUUAGGGGUUACUAGUAUCGGUUUAAAUUAAAGGCCUAGUUUUAGUAAUGUUUUGCAUGAUAAUUCCCUGCUGUGCAGCUCCUGCUAAUUGCACUGGUGUCGCAGUAGGGGCCAAUUUCCUGUAUAUACAUUAAUUGGCUCAGGCCCAUUUAGGGUCCAUUUUUAUAAUGAAACAUCGAAAACUGCACUGCAGGAUACUCAGAUUGGAGAUCUGAUAAGACAAUAAGGCAAUAAGAUUAAGAUCAACUAACAGAGGUUGUGUACAAAUACACGUUUUUUAAGGGGGGGGGGUGCUUUAUAGGAGGUUUAAACUAGGCCUUUAAGCCCUGCGUGCAUCGCUACGGUAACACGUUUCAUCCACCGGGUGUUUUUCGUGGGCUGCUGUCAUUCCUAUGAAGGAUAUAUGAUCAAAUCAGUAUCACCGUAAGUAAGCAUUAAGAGGCGCAAUUAAGACUCUUUGAAACUUUGUAAUAAUUUUUUGGACGACUGGUAGUAUACAGGUUUGAUCAGGGCAUGUGCCGAAGGUUCGGCAACAUUUAGACAGAAUAAAACAGUAUGUUCGAGGUUUUCAGUUUUUUAAAGUAUUUGUGUAGAGAAUUUGCUUUAAAAGAAAAUUGUUUGUAUGCGUUUGUGUGUGCCACACUUCUCUAACAUGUUCCAAAAUAAAUAUCGAAGUAUUGCCCCAUGCAAACAUGUGUUUGUCUUUUGUGCGCAGGGAC